AACCUGAUGAGUUGCUGCUGGUUCUCCAGGGAGCAUGUGCACNCUUGUCAUCUUUAUAUCUCCACCUGUGAACCUUUUGUAGACCUGGAUAACUCUCUGAAUGGCCUGACAGGUUCGGGUUUGAGGAUUGAUUUUUUUCUUUCCUUGCAUUUUCAGGUCUAUGUUUUUCAUAUACCCCAUGUAUGUUUAUAGAAUGUAAUAAACAGGCCUUUUGUGCCUAUAAACUUAUACAACUUUCAGCAACGGAUCUCUUGGCUCUCGCAUCGAUGAAGAACGCAGCGAAAUGCGAUAAGUAAUGUGAAUUGCAGAAUUCAGUGAAUCAUCGAAUCUUUGAACGCAUCUUGCGCUCCUUGGUAUUCCGAGGAGCAUGCCUGUUUGAGUGUCAUUAAUAUAUCAACCCUCUUCAGCUUUUUGCAUGUCGAGUGUUGGAUGGUGGGGGUUUUUGCUGGACUCUCUCUUGAGGUCAGCUCUCCUAAAAUACAUUAGCAAAACAAUCUGUUUACUGCUCAUUGGUGUGAUAACUAUCUACGCUAUUGACGGUAUAAAGCGCAGUUUAGCUUCUAACAGUCCAUUGACUUGGACAAUGUUUUAUCAAUGUGACCUCAAAUCAGGUAGGAUUACCCGCUGAACUUAAGCAUAUCAAUAAGCGGAGGAAAAGAAACUAACAAGGAUUCCCCUAGUAACUGCGAGUGAAGCGGGAAAAGCUCAAAUUUAAAAUCUGGCA
rnacentral:rRNA from 1 species